UACAGAGGAGCCAAGCGUUGUCCGGAUUGACUGGGCGUAAAGCGCACGCAGGCGGAUGCGCGCGUGGGGUGUGAAAUCUGGCCGCUUAACGGCCAGGCGCCAUCCCAUACGGCGCGUCUGGAGUGAUGCAGAGGUCGAUGGAAUUGCCGGUGUAGUGGUGAAAUGCGUAGAGAUCGGCAGAAACACCCAGGGGGAAACCAGUCGACUGGGCAUCUACUGACGCUGAGGUGCGAGAGCGUGGGGAGCGAACCGG
rnacentral:rRNA from 1 species